rnacentral:lncRNA from 1 species
GUGGGUCAAGGUCUCAGAAAGUAGAAUUUUAGGUCUAGUGAGGAUUUUUAAGAUUUCUUGCAAUCUAUUGAUUGGAUUGGAGUGAAAUAUAUGUGAGAGGUUAUUAGAGUUGUUUUUCUAUGUGUGUAAGAAUUUUGAGAUCAAUCUAAUGAUGAAAAAGAGAGAUAUUGGCUCUGGGACAUUAGCAUCAAGGUUGGAGAAGGAGGCUGACCAAUACCUAAGUACAUUUUUGAGGUUAUCGUCAAUUUGGUAAUUCUGAUCAUUUUCAAAUUUUUUGUACUUGUUUUCAACUUAGUUUUUAAGAAGUGUGAAAAAUUUGAGUUAAGAUGAAUAGUUCAUUUAUUAGUUAUUGAGGUUUAAAUCUGUUGUAGGAAUUACUAGGAUUUGGUUAGGGAUUGGUUUAGAGUUUAGAGUUUGGUUAGGAUUUGAUUUAGGAUUAAGAUUUGAUUUAGGAUUUAGGAUUUUGAUUAGGAUUUAAUUUAGGAUUUAAGGUUUGGUUUAGGGUUUGAUUUAGGAUUUACAGUUUGAUUAGGAUUUGAUUUAGGAUUAGGAUUUGGUUAGGGUUUGGUUUAGGAUUUAGAAUUUGGUUAGGAUUUGAUUUAGGAUUAGAGUUUGGUUUAAGAUUUAGGAUUUGUUUUAGGAUUUAAGAUUUAGUUAGGAUAUGAUUUAAGAUUUAGAAUUUGGUUUAGGAUUUAUUUGGAAAUUGGUUAGAAUUUGGUUUAGGGUUGAGUUAUAGUUUGGUUUAAGAUUUAAGAUUUAGUUAGGGUUUGAUUUAGGAUUUAUUUAGGGAUUGGUUAGAGUUUGAUUUAGGAUUUGGUUGGGAUUUGGUUUAGGAUUUAGGAUUUUGUUAGGGUUUGGUUUUGGUUUAUGGUUUGAUUUAGGAUUUAAGAUUUGAUUAGGGUUUGAUUUAGGGUUUGGUUAGAGUUUGGUUUAGGAUUUUUUUAGGGUUUGGUUUAGGAUUUAGGAUUUUAUUAGGAUUUGUUUAAAAUUUAAGAUUUAGUUAGUUUUGGCCUAAAGUUUGAAUGAAGUCUAAUAGGAUUUUAAUUAAGAUUAAAUUAAGAUUGAAUUGAGAUGUAUUUGAGAUGUAUUUGUGAUUAUUCUUAUAUUUCUUUAAGAUUUCUUAUUUUUUCUUUGAAAUUUCUUUGAGGUUUCUUUGAAUUUAAUUAAAUCUUACUUAGUAUUAUUA